CAGCUCUAGAGAGCUGGCUCAGGGUAGUGAUGUUGGCACACAUCGCAGGAGGAAGGCUGGAUGCAGCAACAGAGAACCGUGUUUAAUAUAACACCUUGCAUCCGAUGCUGAGUUUAUGGGCUGGCCGCAGAAUGUGUAUAUACAUAAUUGAUGAGAAGGUUAAGAGCCUCUAAUUAAGAUGGACCAUCUUCACAUUCUGUUCUUAUUCUUACUCUCCCAUGGACUGGUCCUACCACAUUUAUGCAGGAGGGGAAACCCUAAGAAGAAGCUGGAAACCUUGCUGAAUUGAGGAGAGACUGGAGUUAGAAGAUGCCGAAGCCACUGUGAUUUGCUAGGCAUU